UCCCUGGUGGUCCAGUGGCUAAGACUCCAUGCUCUCAAUGAAGGAGGCCCAGGUUCGAUCCCUGGUCAGGGAA
rfam:TPA: Bos taurus chromosome 19, whole genome shotgun sequence.